AUUGAACGCUGGCGGCAGGCCUAACACAUGCAAGUCGAACGAGUGGCGGACGGGUGAGUAAUGUCUGGGAAACUGCCCGAUGGAGGGGGAUAACUACUGGAAACGGUAGCUAAUACCGCAUACCCACGGAUGUGCCCAGAUGGGAUUAGCUAGUAGGGGGGGUAACGGCUCACCUAGGCGACGAUCCCUAGCUGGUCUGAGAGGAAGACCGGCCACUCUGGACUCGGGCCACGGUCCCGACUCCCACGGGAGGCAGCAGUGGGGAAGAUUGCACAAUGGGCGCAAGCCUGAUGCAGCCAUGCCGCGUGUAUGAAGAAGGCCUUCGGGUUGUAAAGUACUUUCAGCGAGGAGGCGUUACUCGCAGAAGAAGCAUCGGCUAACUCCGUGCCAGCCGCCGCGGUAAUAC
rnacentral:rRNA from 1 species